GAUGAAGAACGUAGCGAAAUGCGAUACCUGGUGUGAAUUGCAGAAUCCCGUGAACCAUCGAGUCUUUGAACGCAAGUUGCGCCCGAAGCCAUCAGGUUGAGGGCACGUCUGCCUGGGCGUCACAUAUCGUUGCCCAAUGCCUAUUGCAGUGCAAUAGGAAUUUCUAGGGCGAAUGAUGGCUUCCCGUGAGCGUUGUUGCCUCGCGGUUGGUUGAAAAUCGAGUCCUUGGUAGGGUGUGCCAUGGUAGAUGGUGGUCGAGUUAGAACGAUACCGAUCAUGUGCAUGCUCCCCAAAAUAUGGCCUCUAUGACCCACACGCGUCUUUUGACGCUCAUGACGAGACCUCAGGUCAGGCGGGGCUACCCGCUGAAUUUAAGCAUAUCAAUAAGCGGAGGA
rnacentral:misc_RNA from 1 species